rnacentral:lncRNA from 1 species
CACAUGAUAUGUGGAAAGCUCUCAAAACUAAGUUUGGUGCUACUUCCGAUACUAGGUUGCACAAUUUGACCUUGUAUUUUGAUAGUUACCAAAAGCAUACUAAGUAGACUGUGAAACAAUACUUGAGGGUAAAGUCAGACAUGAUAUGUGAGUUAAAAUCUACUAGCAAUCUACUAGCAAUAAUUUGACUGAUGACCAC